GACGAACGCUGGCGGCGUGCUUAACACAUGCAAGUCGAACGGUGAACCUCUUCGGAGGGGAUCAGUGGCGAACGGGUGAGUAACACGUGGGCAACCUGCCCCCGGCUCUGGGAUAACUCCAAGAACUUGGGGCUAAUACCGGAUGUUCACCGCUUCCCGCAUGGGUGGUGGUGGAAAGGGUUUCCGGCUGGGGAUGGGCCCGCGGCCUAUCAGCUUGUUGGUGGGGUAGUGGCCUACCAAGGCGACGACGGGUAGCCGGCCUGCGGGGGUGACCGGCCACUCUGGGUCUGAGACACGGCCCAGAUGCCUCCGGGAGGCAGGAGUGGGGAAUAUUGCGCAAUGCGCGGAUGCCUGACUCAGCGACGCCGCGUGGGUGAUGACGUCCUUCGGUUUGUACACCUCUUUCCGCAGGGACGAAGCGCAAGUGACGGUACCUGCAGAAUAUGCCCCGCCCAUCUACGU
rnacentral:rRNA from 1 species